CAAGAAACCAAGAACAAUAUAGAACACCCGACCAAACAACCCUAAGACUCCACAUGUUACCUCAAGAUACAACCUAAAGCAUUUGAGAACCACUUGUAAAACAUCCACUUGGGUUGAUCUAAUGGUGUUAAUUUAAGACUUUUGAGUAUGCUCCUCUCAAGGUCUUGUGUUCGAUUCUCCCUGGUGUCAAUUUUGAUGGAUUAAGUCCAUAUAAAGUCGUGCUCUAGCUUCAAA
rnacentral:lncRNA from 1 species